AAGAAGAGGUUGAAGAUGUGUAAGAAAUUGAUUGUCAAAAUAUUGAGGAAGAAUGAUGCUAAAACUUAAUAGUUAUACUUCCCUACUUUUUAUUAGUUUACGUAGUUCAAUGUAAAUGUAACUUUGUAUAGGAAAUGGUGAUUGCAAUUGUAGUUUAUUUUUUCCUUUUUGGUGCUCAUGCUUAUUUGAUUGACUUAAUGAGAAUGGCUAAUUCUUUAUAAUUUGUGACUUGUGAGAGGAAUGCUUAAUGAUAAUUACUGACUUUUAUUCUUUAUGUUCAUGUCAAGUUCUUCGACAAAACCAGUAAAAGCCUAAAAGGUAUGUUUUCUUUAUCUUUAUAUAUCUAACUCUUUUACUUAUAGAGUUAUGUGAUAUCUAUUAUCUUUUAAUAUACUUUGUGUAACUUGUAGGAGAAUAUGGAAGAAAAACAAAAAAUCACGCCUACAACUUAGAAUAAAAAAGAAAUCCACACUUUACAAGCUAUAGGUAAGUAUUCUACAAAAUUUCUUAUAAUUUAGAGAUAUUUUUAUUUUUAGGCGGAUCCCUGCACC
rnacentral:lncRNA from 1 species